UUAACUAUAAUAUAAUAUCGACAGAAAAAUAAAAUAGAGAAAACUGAAAUUCGGAUAGUCCAUUUACUCUUAACCAGACAGCCCGAUAGCCCAUUUACCAACAUUCAUAUUUAUUUCCAGAUUGGCAAAACCCUAAAAUUCGUAAUUCGGUCAGUUUCAAGUUUUCUCAAGCAAUGAGUCCUUGGCAGAUUGAUAAUGGUAUUGGCAAAACUAAAGGGAAACCAUGCAAGAAGACAUACCUUGAUGUUUUGAAAUUAAUUUGUUUGUGAGUUAAUAGCCAAAGUGGUCCCUGAGGCAAGAAGGGCAGCAGGGGCAGAGGAUCACCACCUGGCCUGGCUGCAGGUGGUAUGCGUCUUUCGCGUACCAGAUUGUUCAUUACAAACAAGCGCAAGGCCAGAAAAUCACCACCUGGUCAGUCGGAAUGUAAUAAGGAGAAAGAACCAUCCAACGAUGGCGACAGUAGUGGUGUGAGUCAUGAAUAUAUCGUUAAUAUGUGGAGGUCAUCGGUCUUUCAUAAUCAUGAUCGGUGUAGGUGUACCCUAUCACGGGAACAAAAGCUCGCCCCCUACUAUAAUCGAAUCCUGGAGCGAAUGGCGCGUGAUGAAGCUAAAAUUGUAGAUGUUUCGACGGCCGAGGAUCGGGCAGCGACCAGGGCUCUAAUUAACCGAUGGUUUAAUUACGUUCCAUCUGAUAAUUCUGAGACGGAGGAGGAUUCAACUGACUCGGAUUAAUUAUGAUCGGAGGAGGCAUCAAUGUAUGUAGGGGGACACAUUUACCAAUUACCAUUAGCUUUGUUCUUGACGGAGACGAGGGAUUCUUGUUGAUUUGUGGAUGCCAGUUUACAGCCCCCCAAAGGGUUUGCAGAUAGUGAGAUUAAACGUUUAACGGAUAGUCAUAUGGAACGCGGUACGCUCCGGUACGCGGCACGAAAACUGGUACGCAAUUCGGGCCUUUUUAAAAAUCGGUACGUUGGGGUAAGUUAAUUUGGGAACGCUAAUUAGGUACGUGGUACGGUGUAUGAAAUCGUUCUCUUCAAAUUCAUCGUGGUUUCUAUCUCUGUUGCUUCUGAUCUUGUGUUUUCUAUGAAAUCGUUCUCUUCGAAUUCAUUAUCGCUUGCAUAAUUUUGUUGCCGCAUUCCAGAAUUUUGAGUAUCCUGUCUUGAGGUCGACCCACUCUUACCGAAAGCCAUUUGCUAAUUGCUUACUGUUUUGUUUUUAACUGAGUGAAUUGAAUUGAAAUAUUGUGAACUAGAUUGAUUGUUAUACCAUGUAUUUAUAGUUAA